UCCCCUUACCGGUCAUCUAUUAAAAAAAAACAAAAACUUGAAUAAUUGGAAUAAAAUUUUAAAAUUUAAUCUCAUUGCUUUCUAACACUUUCUGAUUGUAAAAGUGACGCAUGGUUGUCAGGUACUAUUUUGGUAAUAUAGAAAAGAAGAAAACAAACACCGCUUACAGCCUCACCCUCAGAAGUAAGCAUUGUAUGUUAUAUUUAUUCACUUGUGGGCCACAGGAAAACAAUUAGAUUCACAGAAAUCCUUGGCUUAUGUCGGGUUGGCUCCAUCCAGCCCUGGAGCCAGACCCUGACCAUGCUUGUCCCUGCCCCCGCCCCACCUGGAGGGCCUCUGUCCCUUCGCCCCUGUGCAGAGUUUCAUCUCAUCCACCAGUACCGCGUCAGCCACACCGCUCCCAAGCCUUUCUUCCUCUGUGCGUAUGUGUGGGUGGGUGUGGUUUUUCCAUUAAAAAUGGGAUCACACUCUUCGAGGACAUUUUUUCCCACUUAAAGGCAUGUUUCAGCCAUUUCCCAUAUCAAGCGACAUCAAUGUACAAGAUCAACAAACCUGCUGAGAGGCAGAGAUGUAGAAGUUUCUGCUUUAACCCACUCUGCAGUGGUCAUUUCUGCACAAGCGUCUGUGUGCCGGGUCAGCUCCUGGAAUGGGCUUGCUGGGACAGACACUCUGCACGGAAGGACACAAGAGAAUCUCCUUCAUCCCGUGGUUGUCAGCAUUGAAACGGGUGAAUUCAGGAGAGCACACACGUGGAGCCUGGCGGGUGGACGGCGCCCUGCUCAUAGACGAAGGAAAUCAGCAUCUCCCGUGUGGAAUCGCGGUUUUUCACUCCCGCUGAGGACGGACGUGUCUUCUCACGUAUUCCAGUCUGUUUGUCCUGCUGUGACACUCACCUGUUCUUGUUCUUUGCCUGAUGGAGCAUCCAAUUUUUAUUUUU